rnacentral:rRNA from 1 species
GACGAACGCUGGCGGCGUGCUUAACACAUGCAAGUCGAACGGAAAGGCCCUGCUUUUGUGGGGUGCUCGAGUGGCGAACGGGUGAGUAACACGUGAGUAACCUGCCCUUGACUUUGGGAUAACUUCAGGAAACUGGGACUAAUACCGGAUAGGAGCUCCUGCUGCAUGGUGGGGGUUGGAAAGUUUCGGCGGUUGGGGAUGGACUCGCGGCUUAUCAGCUUGUUGGUGGGGUAGUGGCUUACCAAGGCUUUGACGGGUAGCCGGCCUGAGAGGGUGACCGGCCACAUUGGGACUGAGAUACGGCCCAGACUCCUACGGGAGGCAGCAGUGGGGAAUAUUGCACAAUGGGCGGAAGCCUGAUGCAGCAACGCCGCGUGCGGGAUGACGGCCUUCGGGUUGUAAACCGCUUUCGCCUAUGACGAAGCGUGAGUGACGGUAAUGGGUAAAGAAGCACCGGCUAACUACGUG